GAUCCCAAUGCUAGUGCUUAUGAUGAAAUUUCAUGAGGGAUCUUAGGGUCAAAAUUGGGGUCUUACAGUACUCAAUUAGAAAAUCAAACCAACUAAGUUCAAAUCAUAAUAACUUGUCAUUCAAAUCAAACUAAACAGUUAUAAUUUAUUUAGAAUCGAAUAGAACCAAAAUUAUUGGUUUGAUAUAAUAAUUUGGAAUAUCGAACCGUACCAAAGACAAUUUUUUAAAACUAAAUUAUUUUUUAAAGAACCGAAUCGUUAUAUUAUUUUUUGAUUUUU
rnacentral:lncRNA from 1 species